rnacentral:rRNA from 1 species
GAUAGGAUUCUUUGUUGGUAAGUUAGCUGGGGUAGCUGUUCUAGGUAAAUUAGAGUGUUAUAUUAUACUUAAUGAAGGGUUUAUGGUCCUGUUUAUACGGAUAAUUAGAGUUAGUUACUUUAGGGAUAACAGCGCAAUAUUUUUGGGGAGAUCAUAUCUAUAUAGAUGAUUGCGACCUCGAUGUUGAAUUAAAAGUUCCCCGUGGGGCAGAGAAUACGGUGGAUGGUUUGUUCAACCAUUAAAUUUUUACAUGAUCUGAGUUCAAACCG